CCAGUAUGUUCCAGAGAGCUUGCGUCCUCUCAUUGGCCUGUUCCAAUAUUCUCCAAAAGGCCGCAGAGCACCAUUGGUCUGUUCCAAUGUGCUUCUCCAAUUUUUAUUGGCUCUCCCGUUGCCAUCCCGUUGCUGUCCCAGCACCCUGCCACACUUCUGACUUACAGCAUUUGAAUGUUUUCCAAACUGGCAUCUCCAUAUUCCAGGCCAGCGCCUGUGAGGGUGAGUCCAUCCACAGGAGUGUUUAUAACAGAUGAGGUCACAGUAUCUUCAGUAUCUUCAUCCUCCCUCCCCAACCUAUAAAGACCUUCCUGACUGGAAAGCAGACUAGUGUGCACUCUCAGGGAGGGUUGUCAGUUUGACUACUGUAAAACUCCAAAAGAUGGGGCCGUUUCAGCCCGACCACUUGGGCUGCUUUCAGGAAAAAGCAUGCAUGAAGUGUCUCUCUGGAGAGAAGUUGCACUACACAAAAUCAGCCUGUCAGAUGACAUGGAAAUCAGUCACCUCUAUAUUAGAAAAAAACAAAGAAGACAUUCAAUUUAGUUCCACUACCCAUACAGCUGUGAAGGUUAACCAUCGUCUAGUACAUUAUGACUCAUCGGUUUCUGAUCCCAGGUUCACAGAUAGCGUUAAACUUCAUAUUUCCUAAUGUGACGGACGAGGGUUAAGCAGGAUGUGGGGACGAGG